rnacentral:rRNA from 1 species
GACGAACGCUGGCGGCGUGCCUAAUACAUGCAAGUCGAACGCAGUGGGGACGGGUGAGUAACACGUGGGUAACCUGCCAUCAGAGGGGAUAACACUUGGAAACAGGUGCUAAACCGAUACUGAUGGAUGGACCCGGGGUGCAUUAGCUAGUUGGUGGGGGAACGGCUCACCAAGGCCACGAUGCAUAGCCGACCGGGGAGGUGGACGGGCAACACUGGGACUGAGACACGGCCCAGACUCCUACGGGAGGCAGCAGUGGGGAAUCUGGGGCAAUGGACGAAAGUCGGACCGAGCAACGCCGCGUGAGUGAAGAAGGUUUUCGGAUCGUAAAACUCUGUUGUAGGGGAAGCGGUAUCUAACCAGAAAGCCACGGCUAACUACGUGCCAGCAGCCGCGGUAAUAC